CAAUCAAUUUCAUUGACACAAUGACAGUAUGAACAAAAUAUAAAUUAUAAGUGUAAAAACAUGGAACACUAUUCAUUCAUCAUGUGUUUAUCGUAUCAGUGUAUAAUAAUAAACAACCGAAUUAGUAUGGAUUAGGUUAGAUAUUGUUUCUACUAUUGUAUAUCUAAGCACCCAUUAAUAAAUUUAAAAAGAAAAAACAA